UACGGGGGGGGCAAGCGUUGUUCGGAAUUACUGGGCGUAAAGGGCGCGUAGGCGGCUUUUCAAGUCGGGCGUGAAAGCUCCGGGCUUAACCCGGAAAUGUCGCUCGAUACUGUUGAGCUAGAGUGUGGAAGAGGCUACUGGAAUUCCGUGUGUAGCGGUGAAAUGCGUAGAUAUACGGAGGAACACCAGCGGCGAAGGCAGGUCUCUGGGCCACUACUGACGCUGAGAAGCGAAAGCAUGGGGGAGCGAACAGG
rnacentral:rRNA from 1 species